rnacentral:rRNA from 1 species
CAGCCGCCACGGUAAUACGUAGGGUGCGAGCGUUAAUCGGAAUUACUGGGCGUAAAGCGUGCGCAGGCGGUUAUAUAAGACAGAUGUGAAAUCCCCGGGCUUAACCUGGGAACUGCGCUUGUGACUGCACAGCUAGAGUAUGGCAGAGGGGGGUGGAAUUCCACGUGUAGCAGUGAAAUGCGUAGAGAUGUGGAGGAACACCGAUGGCGAAGGCAGCCCCCUGGGCCAACACUGACACUGAGGCACGAAAGCGUGGGGAGCAAACAGGAUUAGAUACCCGAGUAGUCCCUGUCUCUUAUAC